rnacentral:rRNA from 1 species
UGGUUAAGUCAGGCAACGAGCGAGACCCCUGCCGUUAAUUGCUACCAUUAUCCGCAAGGAUGGUGGAGCUAGUUGACGGGACUGCCGCCGCUAAGGCGGAGGAAGGAAGGGGCAACGGCAGGUCAGUAUGCCCCGAAACUCCUGGGCCACACGCGGGCUGCAAUGGUAGAGACAAUGGGUUCCUACCUCGAAAGGGGGAGGCAAUCCCCAAACUCUACCCCAGUUGUGACUGAGGGCUGCAACCCGCCCUCACGAAUCUGGAAUCCCUAGUAAUCGCAUGUCAUCACCGUGCGGUGAAUACGUCCCUGCUCCUUGCAC